UGUGGGACCGUCACUGCUCCGCCUCCCGCGGCAUAAACAGCAACAGUGCAGACUCGACCGGCAGCGUUACUACACGUUUCCGUCCCACAAAACGAACAAUCGCAGUUAUUUAAUAUUAAUUUAUUUUACCAAAGUGACAGAUUAAAAAAGUGUCAUUUAAAAUCAAUUUUAAAGGAAGAAGGAGGAAUAACUUGGACAUGUAUGAAGUUUACAAGUAACUGGUAGCAGAUAUGACGUGGACCGAAGCAAUGUUCAACGUUAGAAACUGAAAAUGGAUAUGACAUUCACACCCUGUCCAUGACGAGAUGUGAGAUCUGGCGCGCGCCAAUAUGGCUAACGCGACCGACGCUUUCUGUGUGCCCGGCGCCACGGAAUUCAAUAAAGCUUACAGCCGAUUGCACGGAUACAUCGCUAUUGUGAUAUGUAUCAUAGGAUCAGCCACGAACUCUAUAAACAUCGCAGUGCUGAGUCGCAGGGAAAUGAUAAGUUCCACGAACUCCAUACUGACGGGCCUCGCAGUCGCCGACCUCCUUGUGAUGCUUGAGUAUAUACCAUACGCUCUACACAUGAAUAUUAAAAUCGGCCCCGAAGUAAAUAAGAACACAUACGCUUGGACUGUCUUCGUCUACUUCCAUUCCAUAUUUAGUCAAACAUUUCAUACUAUAUCGAUCUGGUUGGCUGUGACGCUUGCAGUAUGGCGGUACAUCGCCAUCGCUUUUCCUCAGAAGAACAGGACGUGGUGCAGCAAACAAAACACCACAAUUGCCAUCGUUAGCGCUUACGUGAUAUGUCCCUUCCUUUGUCUUCCAAUUUAUUUUGCAAUGAAUAUAUCCCAGAAUGAAGUGACGCCUCAGAACAACUCCCAGUUUGCCGAAGACUUAUCAUUGCCACAUAAUAGAACUGUGUACGUGUUAGAAAUGUCAAAGAACAAGGAAUUAGUUACCGCAAUAAUGUGGAUAUACAGUGUUAUAUUAAAACUAGUCCCGAGCAUAGCUUUAUCUAUAUUAAGUACGUGCUUAAUUUCUAAAUUAACUACCACAGAGAGAAGAAGACAGAAGCUUCUUAAGAGAUCGAUAGUUGGGCCAAAUGAUAGUGAGAAGCAGUGCUUGGCAGAGGAUCCAAGCGCAGCGCGGCGCUCCAGUCGCACGGACCGCACGACGCGUAUGCUGCUAGCUGUACUGGGUCUGUUCCUCUCCACUGAGGUCCCUCAAGGUCUCCUGGGACUCGCCAGCGCCCUCGCACCAGAUUUCUUCAAAAGCUGCUAUAGUAUGUUUGGUGACCUUAUGGACGUGCUGGCACUGUUCACGUCUUCAGUAAACUUCGUGUUGUACUGCAGUAUGAGUCGUCAGUUCCGAUGUACGUUCGCUCGACUCGCGCGUCGCAUGCUCUCCGCGCCCGAGGAACCACCUAAAUCAUCCAACAAACACGAGCCCACCACACAGGUCACAGGGCCACUUUAGCGACAGAUGCCCGCCCUUAUUAGGGUGGUGGAGGAGAGCGUUAUUUAGUGUCAAGAUUUACAAUCAGCGAAAACAAGAAAUAUAUCUUAAAAUUUCGGUUAGGUAGUCAAACAAAAUUGUACAUACCUUGACACUGUAAAUAACUAUAAAGGACUUUAGACUAUAUUAUUAAAUUUAAAGUUAAUAAUUGUACGUUUUAUCUUAUUAUUAUAUUUUGUAAUCAUCGAAUUAAUAUAAAAAUAAAAUAUCUAUUAAUCUGUACAUAUAAAUUAUUUUUUGUGAUUGUAAUAAUUGUAUAUUGUAAAUAUUGUACAUAUGUAAAUAAGAUAUACUAUGUAUAACAUAUAGUAUAUACUUGUAACCCUUAACGAUUUAUAGUCAUUGUUAGUAACCGCUAGCUUUCGCGUCCAAUGAGCCAAGACGCGAAAACUAGACGUUGCGUUUUGUAAAUUUUGUACUAAUGAAUCAAUCUCUAAGUUAUAUCUUAGGGUCCAAAAGUCUUAUAACUAUAGCACUAGACCUAUACCUAUACCUAGACUAGUACUUUAUAAAUAAUUAAUUUUUAUCGUUAUGUAAUGUUUAAUUAAUCACAUUUUCUACUAUUAUUAAUUUAAUUAUCUGUAACAAAGUCAAUUGAAU